CACGUAGGGGGCGAGCGUUGUCCGGAUUUAUUGGGCGUAAAGAGCUCGUAGGUGGCUCGGUAAGUCGGGUGUGAAAUUUCGAGGCUCAACCUCGAACGACGCCACCUGAUACUGCCGGGGCUAGAGUCCGGAAGAGGCGAGUGGAACUCCUGGUGUAGCGGUGGAAUGCGCAGAUAUCAGGAAGAACACCAACGGCGAAGGCAGCUCGCUGGGACGGAACUGACGCUGAGGCGCGAAAGCGUGGGGAGCGAACAGG
rnacentral:rRNA from 1 species